rnacentral:tRNA from 1 species
UUAAUUGAAGCCAAAAUAGAGGCAUAUCACUGUUAAUGAUAACACUGAAAAUUAAUUCCAAUUAAG